UAUAAUCGAAAUGCAUAUACAUUCUCCCAUUGCUCCAAAAUCUUGAAAAUUCCAGCACCCAAGCAAUAAAAGGCAUGCACUUUCUCUCAUUGUUACUGCUACACCUCCAAUACAAUACACAUAUUCUAGAAGGAGGGGUAGAAUGGGAAAUCAAGACCAAGAAAAAAAGGGAACAUCCCUAGAGGUGGCAGAACCAGAGAAGUAGUGGAAGAUACUGUAGAAUAUAAAGCCAAAAGAAACCUAUGUUUGUUUACUACUCAAAAUGUCAACAGAAAAGAAGAAAGGAAUAUGCACCGUAUUGAAAAAAAUGAUGACUUACAUUAUUCAUUAACUCUAAAGGAUUUAAAUAGCCUACUGACUACAACUGCAACACAAAAGUAGGAAUAAAACUCUUAUUUUUACUACACCUAAGGACCCANCUCUAACGUAACCUCCUUGCAAAUCGGUCAAAGGAGUAUACCAAUUCUAAACUAAUAAAAUCAAUAACUAAAGAAAUAAAACUUAAACUAAAUAUUCUUUAUUCCAAUACCCAACUGCAUGUCACGUGAAUAUGGUAAAUGAGCCAAUUAAUUCCAACAAUCACCCCAUUAAUUGGCUAUUUACCAAUUCUAUUCACAAUAAUGCAGUUGGGUAUUGGAAUAAAGAAUAUUUAGUUUAAGUUUUAUUUAUUUAGUUAUUGAUUUUAUUAGUUUAGAAUUGGUAUACUCCUUUGACCGAUUUGCAAGGAGGUAUACGUUAGAGAGUGGGUCUUUAGGUAUAGUAAAAAUAGGAGUCUUCUAUUCCUACUUUUGUGUUGCAGGUUGUAGUCAGUAGGCUAUUUAAAGCCUUUAGAGUUAAUGAAUAAAGUAAGUCUUCAUUUUUUUCAAUACAGUGCAUAUUCCUUUCUUCUUUUCUAUCGACAUUUUGAGUAGUAAACAAACACAGGUUUCUUUUGGCUUUAUAUUCUACAUUUGGUAUCAGAGCCCCAGGCUCGGUUGAGGGUUUGAGUGGUUCUUGAUUGCAAAAAAAAGUUGCAGCAUCCUUCCUUGAUCAAAUCUGUUCUAGAAGCAGAAAAAAUCAGAACGGGUGGGAUUUUUGGUUUGGCUUGUUUGCGGGUAAAGAAAAUAGAAGAAACAGGCGUUUGGUUUUCUUGACUGGUGGAAGAGGAGUCUCAAGACAGAUUUGAUCGGAAAAGGUUGGUGCUGUCACAACUCACAAAAAAAAAUGAAGACUUACAUUAUUCAUUAACUCUAAAGGCUUUAAAUAGCCUACUGACUACAACCUGCAACACAAAAGUAGGAAUAAAAGACUCUUAGUUUUACUACAUCUAAAGACCCACUCUAUAACGUAUACCUCCUUGCAAAUCGGUCAAAGGAGUAUACCAAUUCUAAACUAAUAAAAUCAAUAACUAAAGAAAUAAAACUUAAACUAAAUAUUCUUUAUUCCAAUACCCAACUGCAUGUCACGUGAAUAUGGUAAAUGAGCCAAUUAAUUCCAACAGAUAUUGCAGGGGAAAUCUGGAAAGAACUAUUAAUUUUGUCUUUUGCAAUUGGGGAGUUAUUUAGUUAGCAAUAGAAUAGUAGGGGAUCAUUAGAG
rnacentral:lncRNA from 1 species